GAUUCGUCUUUGGACUUUUCAACUAUAUUAGGUGUGAAAGCUUCAAGGGCUAUACAUUGUGAAACCGGAAUAUAGCCAGCAAACUUCAUAUUCGAAUUUAACAUACCGUUUUGAGUGGGUAAACACAAUGGACCUAAGGUGUGCGAGUGAAGCGGCU